rnacentral:rRNA from 1 species
AGAGUUUGAUCCUGGCUCAGAACGAACGCUGGCGGCAUGCCUAACACAUGCAAGUCGAACGAAGCCUUCGGGCUUAGUGGCGCACGGGUGCGUAACGCGUGGGAACCUGCCUUUAGGUUCGGAAUAACAGUUAGAAAUGACUGCUAAUACCGGAUAAUGUCUUCGGACCAAAGAUUUAUCGCCUUUAGAUGGGCCGCGUUGGAUUAGAUAGUUGGUGGGGUAAUGGCCUACCAAGUCGACGAUCCAUAGCUGGUCUGAGAGGAUGAUCAGCCACACUGGGACUGAGACACGGCCCAGACUCCUACGGGAGGCAGCAGUGGGGAAUAUUGGACAAUGGGGGAAACCCUGAUCCAGCAAUGCCGCGUGAGUGAUGAAGGCCUUAGGGUUGUAAAGCUCUUUUACCAGGGAUGAUAAUGACAGUACCUGGUAAAGAAGCCCCGGCUAACUUCGUGCAGCAGCCGCGGUAAUACGAAGGGGGCUAGCGUUGUUCGGAAUUACUGGGCGUAAAGCGCGCGUAGCGGGCUGUUAAGUCAGAUGUGAAAGCCCGGGGCUCAACCCCGGAACUGCAUUUGAAACUAGCAGCCUAGAGACCAGGAGAGGUUAGCGGAAUACCGAGUGUAGAGGUGAAAUUCGUAGAUAUUCGGUGGAACACCAGUGGCGAAGGCGGCUAACUGGACUGGUACUGACGCUGAGGCGCGAAAGUGUGGGGACAAACAGGAUUAGAUACCCUGGUAGUCCACACCGUAAACGAUGAAUGCUAGUUGUCUGCGCGCAUGCGUGCAGGUGACGCAGCUAACGCAUUAAGCAUUCCGCCUGGGGAGUACGGCCGCAAGGUUAAAACUCAAAGAAAUUGACGGGGGCCCGCACAAGCGGUGGAGCAUGUGGUUUAAUUCGAAGCAACGCGCAGAACCUUACCCGCGUUUGACAUGCCCUGUUUGGUUACCAGAGAUGGUUUCCUUCAUUUAGUUGCAGGUGCACAGGUGCUGCAUGGCUGUCGUCAGCUCGUGUCGUGAGAUGUUGGGUUAAGUCCCGCAACGAGCGCAACCCUUAUCCUUAGUUGCCAGCACGUCUGGGUGGGCACUCUAAGGAAACUGCCGGUGCUAAGCCGGAGGAAGGCGGGGAUGACGUCAAGUCCUCAUGGCCCUUACACGCGGGGCUACACACGUGCUACAAUGGCAGUGACAAUGGGAUAAUCCCCAAAAGCUGUCUCAGUUCAGAUUGUCCUCGCAACUCGAGGGCAUGAAGUUGGAAUCGCUAGUAAUCGUGGAUCAGCAUGCCACGGUGAAUACGUUCCCGGGCCUUGUACACACCGCCCGUCACAUCAUGGGGGUUGGUUCUACCCGAAGACUGUGCGCUAACUUCGGAGGCAGCAGGCCACGGUAGGAUCAGCGACUGGGAUGAAGUCGUAACAAGGUAACC